GUUGAACGCUAGCGGGAUGCCUUACACAUGCAAGUCGAACGGCAGCAUAAGAGAGCUUGCUCUCUUGAUGGCGAGUGGCGAACGGGUGAGUAAUGUAUCGGAACGUGCCCAGGUAGCGGGGGUAUAACUACGCGAAAGCGUAGCUAAUACCGCAUACGCCCUACGGGGGAAGGGAGGGGAUACUGUCAAGGACCUUUCGACUAUUGGAGCGGCCGAUAUCGGAUUAGCUAGUUGGUGAGGUAACGGCUCACCAAGGCGACGAUCCGUAGCUGGUUUGAGAGGGUGACCGGCCGCAUUGGGACUGAGACACGGCCCAA
rnacentral:rRNA from 1 species